rnacentral:rRNA from 1 species
AUUGAACGCUGGCGGCAGGCUUAAUACAUGCAAGUCGAACGAGUGGCGGACGGGUGAGUAAUGUCUGGGAAUCUCGCUUAUGGAGGGGGAUAACUACGGGAAACUGUAGCUAAUACCGCGUACCAUUGGCUGAGCCUAAGUGGGAUUAGGUAGUUGGUGGAGUAAAGGCUCACCAAGCCGACGAUCACUUGUUGGUCUGAGGGGAAUACCGGCCACACUGGGACUGAGACACGGCCCAGAAUCCUACGGGAGGCAGCAGUGGGGAAUAUUGCGCAAUGGGGGCAACCUGACGGAGCCAUGCCGCGUGGAUGAAGAAGGCCUUCGGGUUGUAAAGUUCUAUCGGUAGCGAGGCGUUAACUACAGAAGAAGCACCGGCUAACUCCGUGCCAGCCGCCGCGGUAAUUC